CUAUGUCUGUGUGUGUGUGUAGUGCUCAGUCACUGUCAGGUUCAGCGGAUCGCGGCUGUUCUCUAUCAGUGCUACAGUGAUGUUCUGCAGCCGGACUCUCUCAGCAUGCAGACGUACAGAGCGGCGGUGAGCGCAGUGCUGAAGCUGGAUCCGAGUCCCAGCACAGACGUGCUGCAGAAGAUCACGCGCGGCAGCGAGCUUCAGAGCAACCUCUACACGUGAAGAAAGCACUGUACUCUGGUUUGCACUGUUGCAUUAAAGAUGUGAUGUUGUUUUA